GGCCUGGCCGGGCGGUCUGCCUCACGGUAUGUACUGUCUGGCUGGGUCUUACCUCUUGGUGAGCCAGCAUGCCCUUCACUGGGUGUGUUGGGGAACCAGGACUUUUACCUUGAGAAAAUUAGAGUGUUCAAAGCAGGCCUACGCCCGAAUACAUUAGCAUGGAAUAAUAAAAUAGGACGUGUGGUUCUAUUUUGUUGGUUUCUAGAAUCGCCGUA
rnacentral:rRNA from 1 species